UACGUAGGGUGCAAGCGUUGUCCGGAAUUACUGGGCGUAAAGAGCUCGUAGGUGGUUUGUCGCGUUGUCCGUGAAAACUCACAACUCAAUUGUGGGCGUGCGGGCGAUACGGGCAGACUGGAGUACUGCAGGGGAGACUGGAAUUCCUGGUGUAGCGGUGGAAUGCGCAGAUAUCAGGAGGAACACCGGUGGCGAAGGCGGGUCUCUGGGCAACAACUGACGCCGAGGAGCGAAAGCGUGGGGAGCGAACAGG
rnacentral:rRNA from 1 species